CAGCCGCCACGGGAAUACGAAGGGUGCAAGCGUUAAUCGGAAUUACUGGGCGUAAAGCGUGCGUAGGCGGUGAGUUAAGUCUGCUGUGAAAUCCCCGGGCUCAACCUGGGAAUGGCAGUGGAUACUGGCUCGCUAGAGUGUGUCAGAGGAUGGUGGAAUUCCCGGUGUAGCGGUGAAAUGCGUAGAUAUCGGAAGGAACACCUGUGGCGAAAGCGGCUCACUGGACCACAACUGACGCUGAGGCGCGAAAGCUAGGGGAGCAAACAGGAUUAGAUACCCCAGUAGUCCCUGUCUCUUAUAC
rnacentral:rRNA from 1 species